GAUGAACGCUGGCGGCGUGCCUAAUACAUGCAAGUCGAGCGAACAGAUGAGGAGCUUCUCCUCUGACGUUAGCGGCGGACGGGUGAGUAACACGUGGAUAACCUACCUAUAAGACUGGGAUAACUUCGGGAAACCGGAGCUAAUACCGGAUAAUAUAUUGAACCGCAUGGUUCAAUAGUGAAAGACGGUUUUGCUGUCACUUAUAGAUGGAUCCGCGCCGCAUUAGCUAGUUGGUAAGGUAACGGCUUACCAAGGCAACGAUGCGUAGCCGACCUGAGAGGGUGAUCGGCCACACUGGAACUGAGACACGGUCCAGACUCCUACGGGAGGCAGCAGUAGGGAAUCUUCCGCAAUGGGCGAAAGCCUGACGGAGCAACGCCGCGUGAGUGAUGAAGGUCUUCGGAUCGUAAAACUCUGUUAUUAGGGAAGAACAAAUGUGUAAGUAACUAUGCACGUCUUGACGGUACCUAAUCAGAAAGCCACGGCUAACUACGUG
rnacentral:rRNA from 1 species